rnacentral:lncRNA from 1 species
UCACCAAUUCAAAGGGUGGUAAGCCAACUCUACUACGUCUUUAUAAAUUGAGGCUAAAUAAUGUUUGUGAGGGUGCUGUACAAUUAGGAAUGGGACUAUGUAGAAUAUGUAAAGAAACUUUGUGAUAAAUUACUGGUUGAUUAUUAUCAACCUUGAGAAUUAGACUGAUGAUUAGGUAGUUUAGUUGGUGACAGUAGGUUGUUAGUGGAAUAAAUGGUUAAGAAUUCAAAGGAUCAUAACCUUUGGAAUUUGCUGGCCGACGGAUCAUCUUUUCGGUAGGAUAAAUAGGUUGAAGAAAGUAAGUCGAGAGCCAGACUGUGAGAGUCAUAAGCCGAGAUAAG